UGAACUGCGGUGAACAGCCAG
rnacentral:misc_RNA from 1 species